GCCGGGCGUGGUGGCGGGCGCCUGUAGUCCCAGCUACUCGGAGGCUGAGGCGGGAGAAUGGCGUGAACCCGGGAGGUGGAGCUUGCAGUGAGCCGAGAUCGCGCCACUGCACUCCAGCCUGGGUGAAAGAGCGAGACUCCGUCUCAA
ensembl:misc_RNA Metazoa_SRP Metazoan signal recognition particle RNA